UCAAACCAGAUAUUCACACACAAAACCAGAUAUUCACACACAAAACCAGAUACUCACAUACGAAGCCAGAUAAUCACACACAAUGCAUAUAAUACUCAAGAUAAGGAAAGAGUUACCCUCCUUCUUCGUGACCGGAGAAGAUCGGCCUUCAAUUAAACAGAGAAAACCCUAGGUACAAAACCCUAGGUGCAACCGUCGAAAUCCUUACUGGAAGUAU
rnacentral:lncRNA from 1 species